rnacentral:tRNA from 1 species
AACCUUAUAGUUGAAAUACAACAUUAAAUUGCAGCUUUAAAAGUGUACCCUUACUAAGGUUU